rfam:Choloepus hoffmanni cont1.472674, whole genome shotgun sequence.
UAGAGUUAGGGCAAGACCUAAGAUGGUGGCGUUUGCGCAGCGUCCAAUUACUGCAUGAGUAGUGAGGUUGCUAAGACGGCCAAAAAGAUGGAUCUACUAACGAAAGCCCAGAAACUCGUCAAUUUUUGUGCUGUGA